rnacentral:rRNA from 1 species
GUCGAGAAUCAUUCACAAUGGGGGAAACCCUGAUGGUGUGACGCCGCGUGGAGGAUGAAGGUCUUCGGAUUGUAAACUCCUGUCAUGUGGGAGUAAAGCCGGGUGUUAAAUGCAUGCCGGUCUGAGAGUACCACAAGAGGAAGGGACGGCUAACUCUGUGCCAGCAGCCGCGGUAAUACAGAGGUCCCAAGCGUUGUUCGGAAUCACUGGGCGUAAAGGGUGCGUAGGCGGCGCGGAAAGUCAGGGGUGAAAUCCCGGAGCUCAACUCCGGAACUGCCUUUGAUACUCCCGCGCUUGAGAACUGGAGGGGAGACCGGAAUUCACGGUGGAGCAGUGAAAUGCGUGGAUAUCGUGAGGAACACUAGUGGCGAAGGCGGGUCUCUGGACAGUAUCUGACGCUGAGGCACGAAGGCCAGGGGAGCGAACGGGAUUAGAAACCCCAGUAGUCC